rnacentral:rRNA from 1 species
GCUUUUUGAAUAAUUUAAAGUCUGGCCUGCCCAAUGAUUGAUUGAAUGGCUGCGGUAUUUUGACCGUACUAAGGUAGCAUAAUAAUUAGUUUUUUAAUUGAAAACUGGUAUGAAUGGUUAUACGAGGAAAUAGCUGUCUCAAUUUAAUUUAAUUAGAAUUUUAUUUUUAAGUCAAAAAGCUUAAAUUUAUUUAAAAGACGAGAAGACCCUAUAGAGUUUUAUAUUUUAAUUUUAAUUAAAAUAUUAAGAAUAAAUUAUUUAAUUAAUAUUAAAAUAUUUUAUUGGGGUGAUAGAAAAAUUUAACAAACUUUUUUUAUAUUUUAAUCAUUGAUUUAUGAGUAAAUGAUCCAUUUUUUAUGAUUAUAAGAUUAAAUUACCUUAGGGAUAACAGCGUAAUUUUUUUUGAGAGUUCAAAUCGAAAAAAAAGAUUGCGACCUC